UACGGGGGGAGCAAACGUUGUUCGGAAUUACUGGGCGUAAAGGGCGCGUAGGCGGCUUGGUCAGUCCCGUGUGAAAUCCCUCGGCUCAACUGAGGAACUGCACGGGAAACUGCCUGGCUUGAGUUCGGGAGAGGGAAGCGGAAGUUCCGGGUGUAGCGGUGAAAUGCGUAGAUAUCUGAAGGAACAUCAGUGGCGAAAGCGACUUCCUGGACCAAUACUGACGCUCAUGUGCGAAAGCGUGGGGAGCAAACAGG
rnacentral:rRNA from 1 species